rnacentral:rRNA from 1 species
ACCCCAGACUCCUACGGGAGGCAGCAGUGGGGAAUAUUGGUCAAUGGGCGAGAGCCUGAACCAGCCAAGUCGCGUGAGGGAGUACUGCCCUAUGGGUUGUAAACCUCUUUUGCCGGGGAGCAAGGGCCGGGACGAGUCCCGGUCCGGAGAGUACCCGGAGAAAAAGCAUCGGCUAACUCCGUGCCAGCAGCCGCGGUAAUACGGAGGAUGCGAGCGUUAUCCGGAUUUAUUGGGUUUAAAGGGUGCGUAGGCGGGCUUUUAAGUCAGCGGUAAAAAUUCGGGGCUCAACCCCGUCCGGCCGUUGAAACUGGGGGCCUUGAGUGGGCGAGAAGAAGGCGGAAUGCGUGGUGUAGCGGUGAAAUGCAUAGAUAUCACGCAGAACCCCGAUUGCGAAGGCAGCCUUCCGGCGCCCUACUGACGCUGAGGCACGAAAGUGCGGGGAUCGAACAGGAUUAGAUACCCGAGUA